AUGGCUCAACAUAAUUUAUUUUUUAUGUUAAAAUGUACAGAGUUCUUUUGAAAGUACUUGCUAGAAAGGGGAAAAAAAGAUAUUACAUACAAGGAGAGGAAGGGGGCCAACUGGCCCGGGAGCGCAUGACAUGGAGAAGUCCAAAGGCAUCUCGGCACCCUUCCCCAAGCUUACAGGUCACCAUGAACAAAGUACAAAGGUUACAAAACAGGAAAAGCAAAUAUAAACAGACAGGAAUAGACUUAGCUUCAUUUGUACAUGCGGCUUUUAGAGGCAUCUGGAGCUCUAUUCACACACUCUAGAGAUCUCUUUAAAGAGAAUUUUUAUCUUUCUUAAAAUAGUUUUUAAUAUUCUACAACAAAGAUAAAAAAUUUUAAAGAUGGAAUGAAAUGAAAAAGCUCUUAUUUUAAAAGGCAUCAAAGUCACUAACAGUGAGUUUUUAAAUUUCUUUUUUAGAAGAUUACCCAAGUUAUCUUGCUAAAAAUACAUUUUUUUUUUAAAACUGAAGUGAAAAAAUGACAGGUACCAAUAUUACUGUGUUGGAUAAUUUCUUUUAUAAUAUAGAAAAGAACAUUUUUUUUUCUACAAUAGUUCUACAGUCACAAAGAGGCUUGUGGAAAAGGGAGCUGCCCAAUUGAUUUUUUUUUUUUAAGGAAACAAAAUCAAACACAACCGCAAACCAACAGAAACUGAUUUCAUGGCCCUCAUUUCAACAGCUUCUCCUUCUGCCUUGACCCACCCUCCUCCCAAUAUACUUCCCUCCCGUCCCCCCAUCCCCACCCUAUCCCAUCCAGGAAGCAAUGAUAUAGCUGAAGAUGUAGGGAGAGGGCAGCACAGUGCACUUUCUACAUAGAUGACUGGGAACUGGAAUAGUAUAUACAGAGAAACUGGGUCCUACACAGCCUUGCACAUGCUGAGUUGAUAGCAGUAAGGUGUGGAAUUCUGCCUUUUUCUAACACACUUAAUUGAGAAAGUCAAUUAGUUUAUUAAAAAAAGCAACAAACUUGUGCAUCUGAAAAAAAUUUAAUGCCUAAUUAGUACUUUAAAAAUUUAUCUAUAUAAAAUGUACAAAUAAAGGAGAGAAUUAUG
rnacentral:lncRNA from 1 species